rnacentral:lncRNA from 1 species
AAAAAAAUAACAUAACAGAUAUAAAAGGUGAUAAGCCAUUACAUUUGACCAUUAGUGAGGAAUUUCGUAAUAUUAAAUUGAUACAAAAUUCCUUUUCUAUAAAUACCAGAGAUGCUCCUGCUUUCUUGUCUCUAUUCACCAUUUUUGGCUUCUUCUUUCUCUCUCUAUCUCUCUGUCUCUCUCUUUCGCACGUAUUUGAACGUAUAUACAUAUAUAUGCUACAACCACCUGCAACCGUGCUAGGAGACAGCGCCAUUCCAAUACCUUCCUUCUGCCAGUGUUGUCAAGAAUCAACCCACCCGUACCAAUUCCCAUAUAUCACCGGAUUCCAUGUCCAUUUUCUAUCCUAUUUCAUAGCACACACACCGACGAACAAGUUUCGUGAGUUUUCAAAACUGAAAACUCUUAAUUUAUAUACAUUUUAAGCACUUUGAACGGAGUUGACACUGUUUUAUGCUCGAUUUGGUACUCAUUUGGAGUUGCUGUUCAUUGAUUUGCAGGAGAAGCGGAAAAGAUUGUGAUGAAUAUUAUAUAGGAGCAAAAGUAAAAGAACAGAUAGUUGUGUGAGGCUUUGAAGAAGAAGAAGAGACAGAAACAGAGUGUGUGGGUCAGCCAAAGGUGAGUCGUUUUCAAUGGUAUAACUUUAUUUGUCUCUUUGUCAAUUCAUCGAACACCUUAUGUGCUCGACAACCUUCCACACUUGUGAAAGCGAUUCAUCAUCAGUAUCAUUCCUUCUUCCAAGAUCGCAUUGUUUCCCCUCUCUGAUUUCUUCUAAGCAAAACCAGAAUCAUAAAUUCCUCAAAAUUCGUCUGAUAAAUUUAACUGGGGUAUUGCGUCCUGUGGUCCUAUUAUCGGGAAAGAUGAUAAUGAUGUUGAUAUUGAUACGAUCAGCAACAGAUGCAGGAGGCAACUUUGCGAUCAAUAAUGAAAGCUUGAAAAGAAGGGUAAAGCAAAGUUGUGUGCAGAAUUUGGGAUCCCGGGGACACUCUACUCUCGUUUUCACUUUUUUCCUUGGUUCCAACAAAAAUCAAAAUCUUCUUUUACUUUUUCCAUGGUUAUUCGAGAAAUCCCUUACACAUACACAUACACAUACUCAAACCUCUUCAUUCCUUUCUUCACCUUCACCUUCACGUUAACCUUAAUUUUUCAUUUUACCUCGUAUACUAUACAAUAGAUUAGAGGGAGGGACCCCAACGAAUGAUGACGUCAUAAAUGGUUCUUAACUUCAUAUUGCCAUUGCAUUUGUUUUGUUGCAGUGUGAGGUGUGAAGAAGAACAAGAGAGAAGAUGCUGACGUGUAUAACGUGCUCAAAGCAGCAGGUAGACGAUGGAGGCGAGGAAGUGGGGGCGCGUGGGGCACCNNNNN